ACCCAACUGGCUCAGUUGGUAGGGCAUGUGACUCUUGAUCUGGGGGGUCGUGAGUUCAUGCCCCACGUUGGGCA
rfam:Canis lupus familiaris chromosome 31, whole genome shotgun sequence.